UACAGAGGUCCCAAGCGUUGUUCGGAUUCAUUGGGCGUAAAGGGUGUGUAGGUGGCGCCGUAAGUCGGGUGUGAAAUCUCGGGGCUUAACUCCGAAACUGCAUUCGAUACUGCGGUGCUUGAGGACUGGAGAGGAGACUGGAAUUCAUGGUGUAGCAGUGAAAUGCGUAGAGAUCAUGAGGAAGACCAGUGGCGAAGGCGGGUCUCUGGACAGUUCCUGACACUGAGACACGAAGGCCAGGGGAGCAAACGGGG
rnacentral:rRNA from 1 species